GAAUGACCUGCAGCUCAGUGGUGGAGCAUCUGCAUUGCUUGCAGAAGGCCGUGGGUCCAAUCCCCAACGGUAUCUCCA